UACGAAGGGAGCUAGCGUUGUUCGGAAUCACUGGGCGUAAAGCGCACGUAGGCGGAUGUGUCAGUCAGGGGUGAAAGUCCCGGAGCUCAACUUCGGAACUGCCCUUGAUACAGCACGUCUUGAGUCCGGAAGAGGUGGGUGGAAUUCCUAGUGUAGAGGUGAAAUUCGUAGAUAUUAGGAAGAACACCGGUGGCGAAGGCGGCCCAACUGGUCCGGUACUGACGCUGAGGCACGAAAGCGUGGGGAGCAAACAGGG
rnacentral:rRNA from 1 species